rnacentral:tRNA from 1 species
GGUGAGAUGGCCGAGUGGUCUAAGGCGCUAGAUUUAGGUAUUCUCGUACCGUAUCUCUAGUCAUUCGUGGCGUGGGUUCGAAUCCCACUCUCAUCA